rfam:Trichobilharzia regenti genome assembly, scaffold: TRE_scaffold0033648
AGCCCUCUGUAUCCGGGCUGAGAUUUCGUCAGAGAUCAGCCCGCUGGCGCUGGCUGAUGGUACUUCCCAAAUAAGUGAAGCG